CGUUUUCAGUAAUAAGUUAUAAUGAAUAACUUUAGGUAUCUUUUCCUUGUCGCCUUACUCAUCCUGUUUGCUUGCAGUCUGCAUCUGCAAGUGGAGUGUGCUGAGAAAUCCCAGUCGAGUAGUCAACGUACAUUUGAAUGCCCGCGUAGAGGCCGCGGUGGCAACCAGAAAUACGGAAAAUGCCAAAAUGGCACGUGCAUUGUUCCCAAGUAAAACAGCCUUGUUGCAUGGCCCUGAGGACAAAGGUUGCUUACUAGGAGAAUGAAAAUAAAGGGAUGUGUGGA